UACGUAGGGUGCAAGCGUUAAUCGGAAUUACUGGGCGUAAAGCGUGCGCAGGCGGUGAUGUGAGACAGGUGUGAAAUCCCCGGGCUUAACCUGGGAACUGCAUUUGUGACUGCAUCGCUGGAGUGCGGCAGAGGGGGAUGGAAUUCCGCGUGUAGCAGUGAAAUGCGUAGAUAUGCGGAGGAACACCGAUGGCGAAGGCAAUCCCCUGGACCUGUACUGACGCUCAUGCACGAAAGCGUGGGGAGCAAACAGG
rnacentral:rRNA from 1 species